UUUUUUCAACUUCGGCGAGGUCGGGAAGUCCGUUCAUGCAGAGUUACCAAGGUUGUCACGUUGAGAUGCUGGACUUGAAAUCUGGAGUCCUGCUUCCUGUGGCUAGAUAAUCCUGGGUCUGUGCGUCUUAUAAAUGGAAAUGAAAGGACCUGCCUUUCCUGUUGUUGAGGUCAUCGGGAAGAUCAAAUAUUUGAGAAGUACUUCAGUUCAUGGAAGCAGCUAUCUCCUUCACUUACUAGCAGUAAGACUUUGUUUUCAUCUUCGAGUUUCAAAUUCUUCACUGUAAAAUCUUGGUGAUUAAACACAAUGCAGUUGCUGCAAAGAUUAUAUAAA
rnacentral:lncRNA from 1 species